ACAGCAAGUUGGUGCUUAUAAUGUCUUAACAAUAUGUCAAAAAGGCCACUCUCACAGCAGCAGCGAAGUCCUGAGGGUCUGUUCUCCUACUGGGUGUGAAUUUGCUUGUCAACCUGCAGGCUGAGGGAGCUGCAGGCCACAAGCUGCUGGCCUAUGACCACUUGGAAAAGAACCAGAAUAAGCAAACCCCACUUCUCUCUCUUUUUCCUUCUUCUUUUUUUUUUUUUUUUUUUAAAUCUAGGGAGUACAACCUAAGUGAAAUAUUUGCAGACCGAGGACAUGAUUUUGUCCAACUGCACAAGACCUUUGUCAUCACCCAGAGGAGAGUUUUCCAGAGUGGUUGCUGGAAGGUUUCACAUGACCUGACCCUCCCAAAGCCUCCCUGAGUGAACAGAGGAAAAGACAAGUCCUUCUGUGGAGCAUUUCAGAGCCAGAGCCUACCACAGCAGCAUCGAAACGUUCUUGCAAAUCAUUUCCCUCUCUUUCAGCUUUGCGAAGGGCCCAUGGAUGCUGCAGGCUACUAGGAGCCUGUGUGAAUCCUUCCAUCAGUCUGCUGUCCCACGCACUGUUGGUACUUGUAUGCACGUUACUAUGAAAGUCAAUCACACUUUUAUGACUGAUGUUUAAGACAUGAAGCCAUAAAAUUCUUCAUGCAGUUAGUAAGUUUAAAUGAAUUAUUUAGGUUGUUUCCUCCCACACACCCCUCCCCAUUAACUUACUCCUGAGGGAAAUGUAUUUAUGGAGCCAUGUGCUUCUCACAUGGUUGAAGCUAAAAAUAAGCUUAAAAAAAUCAUUCUGGAUAAAAUUUAAUUUGAAAUCCAGUUCAGCAGCCUAACACAGGCUAUCACUGGUUUCUUAAGACUGGUUUCUCUGUUUGUAACGAUAACCUUGACCAGUCUUUUGAGUGCUGAUUGCUUCUGGAUUUCUCAUACUCUCAUUUUGUUAUAUACAUGUGGAUACAUUUUGUGUGUGUGUGUUCUGAGGCUUUUUUGGGGGGUUGGUUUGGUUUUGUUUGAUAGUGUUGGAGUGUAGAGAGGCUUAUCAGACACUGAAAACCAUGAACUGUUUUUCCCACGAUCUUUUAGUCAAUGAUCAACAGAUCGGAUGCUUCAAAAGGUCUGAACCCUUAUGGGUCACAUCCUUCUUCCAUGUAAUUCCGUAUGAGUAUUGUCACUUGUUUUAAAGAAGCCAAACUUCAGCCCAUAAUGGACAAUUAUGCAACCCUUGGAUGAAAGGGAUGUUUUCUCCUUGCCCUAGAUAAUUAAGUAAAAUGAGGAUCCUUCCAUUCCCAUCACUAGUUUAUUUUUUUAAUUAGUCUUGAGAUGACUGCAUCCUGAGCUCCAAGUACCGACAUCAUUGAGAAGGGAGAUUUCAGCAUAAUUUUUUCUCUGUACGUCACAGCCUUUUCGCCUGAGCACUCUUCCACAGACAGCUCUCAGCUGUUCUCAGUGGGACCCAGGCUGGUAGAGUUCCCUUAGUGCAGGGCAACACACAGGCUUACUUUGCUAUGUCAUUUCUCCUACAUUCUUCUAUCUGCAUUCCG
ensembl:lncRNA